rnacentral:tRNA from 2 species
GCACGGUAGAGCAGCCAGGUAGCUCGUGAGACCCAUAGCCCCGUAUAGUGAACAACUUUAGGGUAGGGCCGCAAGGCGAUGGUUCGAUUCCAUCCCGUGCCA